rnacentral:rRNA from 1 species
UACAGAGGGUGCGAGCGUUAAUCGGAAUUACUGGGCGUAAAGCGUGCGUAGACGGCUAUCUAAGUCGGGUGUGAAAGCCCCGGGCUCAACCUGGGAAUUGCAUUCGAGACUGAAUAGCUAGGGUACGGUAGAGGGAAGUGGAAUUUCCGGUGUAGCGGUGAAAUGCGUAGAUAUCGGAAGGAACAUCAGUGGCGAAAGCGACUUCCUGGACCAGUACCGACGUCAGGCACGAAAGCGUGGGGAGCAAACGGGA